rnacentral:lncRNA from 1 species
GGCUGCUGGGCAGCUCUGGGGACCGGGGGCUGGAAGGGGUGCCAUACCCCGCAGCCUGGAGUUGGGACUCUGCUCUGGCUACCCUGGCAGGUGUCUGUUCUUGGGGCACGGUUUCCCAGGGCCGGGGUCCGGCAGGACGCCAGCUCCCAGAGCCCGAGAGUUCGCUGCGGGGACGCGCGGAAAGGGGGUGCGCUGGCAGCCGGUAGCUUCCUUCCGCAGGAGCUAUUUUUAGCAGGGCUUCGCCCCCCCCUUUUCCCGGAGCCGCCGGCGUGGUCGCCUCCAGCUCGUGGCCGUCGCUCUGCAGCUCGGCGCCGCCUCCCCCGCCGCGGAUGGCUCUUGGUAGCUUCCACGCGGGCAGGUCCGGAAACUGAGCAUGUCUGCAAGCGCUCCGCGGCCCCGGCGGCGGCGACGGCGGUGGGGGCAGAGCUGGGCUGCGUCAGGCUGAGCGCAGUCCGCGCGCGGCCGCGGGAGCGCAGUGCCAGCGCCGCCCGGCCCCACCGAGAGGGGCGCACUCGCCGCUACGGGGCUCGCACCGCUCGCCGCAGCCCCCUCCGGCCGACCCGCAAGUGCGUGGUGCAGGCCAGGGGUCCUCCGUGCUGUGCAGUCUGUCUCCACGACUGGGAGAUCAGGACUCUGGACGUGGUCCAGGACAGGAUUAAGGGGAACGUGCUUCCGCUUCCAGGAAGGAAUCUGAGAAGUCCCUGA